rnacentral:rRNA from 1 species
GACGAACGCUGGCGGCGUGCUUAACACAUGCAAGUCGAACGGAAAGGCCCUGCUUUUGUGGGGUGCUCGAGUGGCGAACGGGUGAGUAACACGUGAGUAACCUGCCCUUGACUUUGGGAUAACUUCAGGAAACUGGGGCUAAUACCGGAUAGGAGCUCCUGCUGCAUGGUGGGGGUUGGAAAGUUUCGGCGGUUGGGGAUGGACUCGCGGCUUAUCAGCUUGUUGGUGGGGUAGUGGCUUACCAAGGCUUUGACGGGUAGCCGGCCUGAGAGGGUGACCGGCCACAUUGGGACUGAGAUACGGCCCAGACUCCUACGGGAGGCAGCAGAGGGGAAUAUUGCACAAUGGGCGGAAGCCUAAUGCAGCAACGCCGCGUGCGGGAUGACGGCCUUCGGGUUGUAAACCGCUUUCGCCUGUGACGAAGCGUGAGUGACGGUAAUGGGUAAAGAAGCACCGGCUAACUACGUG